rfam:Ovis aries breed Texel chromosome 2, whole genome shotgun sequence.
UCCCUGGUAGCUCAGAGGUUAAAGCGACUGACUCCAGUGCAGGAGACCCGGGUUCAACCCCUGGUUCGGGAA